GAGCAGCGUGACACUCACAUACGAGACUUCGCGCUGCCGCGUCACGAAUCAUGAGCGGCGUGCGGGUGCGUAACACGUAGACAACCUACCCUCGUGUGGGGAAUAACCCGGGGAAACCUGGACUAAUACCCCAUACCGCCUCUGGUCAUCAGGACUGGCGGUGAAAGCCUUUCGGGGCGCGCAAGGAGGGGUCUGCGGUCUAUCAGCUUGUUGGUGAGGUAACGGCUCACCAAGGCUUUGACGGAUAGCCGGUCUGAGAGGAUGGUCGGCCACACUGGGACUUGAACAUGGUCCAGAGCCCUACGGGGUUUAGCAUGAAGGAAUCUUGCGCAAUGGGCGAAAGCCUGACGCAGCGACGCCGCGUGGAGGAUGACGCCGUUCGCGGUGUAAACUCCUUUUCUUGGGGAAGAAUUCAGACGGUACCCAAGGAAUAAGCCCCGGCUAACUCCGUGCCAGCAGCCGCGGUAAUACGGAGGGGGCUAGCGUUAUCCGGAUUUACUGGGCGUAAAGGGCGCGUAGGCGGCGGAGCUAGCCGCUUGUGGAAGCUCCUGGCUCAACCAGGAGAUGCCAAGCGGGACGGCUUCGCUCGAGGCAGGGAGAGGGUCGCAGAACUGGCGGUGGAGUGGUGAAAUACGUAGAUAUCGCCAGGAAUACCCGUGGCGAAGGCGGCGACCUGGCCCUGUUCUGACGCUCAGGCGCGAAAGCGAGGGGAGCGAACGGGAUUAGAUACCCCGGUAGUCCUCGCUGUAAACGAUGGGUGCUGGGUGUUGGGGUCGGAUUUUUCUCCGCCCUCAGUGCCCAAGGUGACCCGCUAAGCACCCCGCCUGGGGAGUACGGCCGCAAGGCUGAAACUCAAAGGAAUUGACGGGGGCCCGCACAAGCAGCGGAGCGUGUG
rnacentral:rRNA from 1 species